UGGGGAAUAUUGCACAACGGGGGAAACCCUGAUGCAGCAACGCCGCGUGAGUGAAGAAGUAUUUCGGUAUGUAAAGCUCUAUCAGCAGGGAAGAUAAUGACGGUACCUGACUAAGAAGCCCCGGCUAACUACGUGCCAGCAGCCGCGGUAAUACGUAGGGGGCAAGCGUUAUCCGGAUUUACUGGGUGUAAAGGGAGCGCAGGCGGCAGGGCAAGUCAGAUGUGAAAUACCGGGGCUCAACCCCGGGACUGCUUUGGAAACUGUGUAGCUGGAGUACAGGAGAGGUAAGUGGAAUUCCUAGUGUAGCGGUGAAAUGCGUAGAUAUUAGGAGGAACACCAGUGGCGAAGGCGGCUUACUGGACUGUAACUGACGUUGAGGCUCGAAAGCGUGGGGAGCAAACAGGAUUAGAUACCCUGGUAGU
rnacentral:rRNA from 1 species